UACGAAGGGGGCUAGCGUUGUUCGGAAUACUGGGCGUAAAGCGUGCGCAGGCGGUUAUGUAAGACAGGUGUGAAAUCCCCGGGCUUAACCUGGGAACUGCAUUUGUGACUGCAUAGCUAGAGUACGGUAGAGGGGGAUGGAAUUCCGCGUGUAGCAGUGAAAUGCGUAGAUAUGCGGAGGAACACCGAUGGCGAAGGCAAUCCCCUGGACCUGUACUGACGCUCAUGCACGAAAGCGUGGGGAGCAAACAGG
rnacentral:rRNA from 1 species